rnacentral:RNase_P_RNA from 1 species
UCGGUUAGCUAGGCAGUCGCUUCAUUAGGUUGGAGAGGAAAGUCCGGGCUCCUAAGGACAAGAUGCUGGGUAACACCCAGAUGCAGUAAUGCAAUAGAAAGUGCAACAGAAAGUAUACCGCCUUCGGGUAAGGGUGAAAUGGUAGGGUAAGAGCCUACCGCACUUACAGUGAUGUAAGUGGCAUGGUAAACCUCGUCUGGAGCAAGACCAAGAAGAAAAGUGUCCCGUCCUUGACUAUACUUUUCGGGUAGGUUGCUUGAGCCUACAGGUAACUGUAGGCCUGGAUAGAUGACUGCCGUUAUACAGAACCCGGCUUAUUGCUAACCGAUUAU